CCAUGCAUUAGAAUUAGAAUCUAAACA
rnacentral:tRNA from 1 species